UAAGUUUCAUGGAAUAUGAGUGACACAAUUGUUCUGAUCUUAAUGUUUUAUUGCAUUUUGUGUUAUUUUUUUAUUUUUCGCCUUAGAUUCUGUUGCCAUAGUGACCGCUGGUGCAAGUAGGUACUUUUUGUUACAAAAAGGCAAGACUUAUAUUUCGUCAUGACAGAGGAAACAGACCGUAGUAGCCUCUUACCAGGUACCAUUAGACUCUCAGGGGCAGUAUCAAUUCACCUAACGGAGGCAUCUCGCCGGCCGCUUGGUGUCAACGAUCCGGAUAGCGCCUUACAGCUCGACUCUGGUGUUUCUGAGACUGAUGUGGACAUUUCAAUCGGUUCCUAUUGUGGUGUCGGCCCUGUCAUCUGACGGCAUAUUCCGGCACCGACGGCAGCAUAUGGCUCUGGCCUGGUGUUGCUGUGACUGGUGCUGCCACCUACACAAGCAUCAGUUGACGGUGCUGCCAUCUGUCAAACUGCUUUCGGCAUCGACUACAGCUCAUAUCUUGGACAUUUGGCUCCAAGGGCAGUCUUCGCU